rnacentral:rRNA from 1 species
GACGAACGCUGGCGGCGUGCUUAACACAUGCAAGUCGUACGGUAAGGCCCUUUCGGGGGUACACGAGUGGCGAACGGGUGAGUAACACGUGAGUAACCUGCCCACAACUUUGGGAUAACGCUAGGAAACUGGUGCUAAUACUGGAUAUGUGCUCCUGCUGCAUGGUGGGGGUUGGAAAGCUCCGGCGGUUGUGGAUGGACUCGCGGCCUAUCAGCUUGUUGGUGGGGUAGUGGCCUACCAAGGCGGCGACGGGUAGCCGGCCUGAGAGGGUGACCGGCCACAUUGGGACUGAGAUACGGCCCAGACUCCUACGGGAGGCAGCAGUGGGGAAUAUUGCACAAUGGGCGCAAGCCGGAUGCAGCAACGCCGCGUGCGGGAUGACGGCCUUCGGGUUGUAAACCGCUUUCAGCAGGGACGAAGCUUUUUGUGACGGUACCUGCAGAAGAAGCACCGGCUAACUACGUG